CUCGUAGGCGGUUCGUCGCGUCCGGUGUGAAAGUCCAUCGCUUAACGGUGGAUCUGCGCCGGGUACGGGCGGGCUGGAGUGCGGUAGGGGAGACUGGAAUUCCCGGUGUAACGGUGGAAUAUGUAGAUAUCGGGAAGAACACCAAUGGCGAAGGCAGGUCUCUGGGCCGUUACUGACGCUGAGGAGCGAAAGCGUGGGGAGCGAACA
rnacentral:rRNA from 1 species